CAGUCUUCUGGAAUCUCUCCUGUCUCCCAUGAUUUUCCAGAGAUGAUAGCUAUGAUAGAUUUGUAACAUCCUUACUCUGAACUCAUCUGUUGGUUGUAAUGUGGGCCCAAGCCUGGUAAAAAUGGGAAAGCCUGUCCCCAAAGGGGACGGGGAGAGGUCUAAAACCAGAACUGGUAUUGUUUCCUCACGCAUACCUUCUAUACAAGGACUUGGGCUGCUGAGGUGGGGGCAGCCCACCUCUGCCCUCUGAGUCUGAGUGAGACCUGCACCUCCUAUUACACCCACUGGCAUUAUUGCUGCCAUUAUUUCUAGGCUGGCAUCUUGCUUGGCUGGACCUGUAGUCUUGGUAGGAGGCCCUCACAUGCAGUCUAGGAUUUUAGGACUGCCUUUGCAGGGCUGGGGUGUGAAUUCCCAGAGACCUAAGGAUGGCUCUGGGGUCCUUCAGACUACGUAGUCUGGCAUCUGUGUGCUGUGAGAAUAGCUCUGUCCCUUCAAACGGCAAGUCCUGCAGUGUAUUCUGCACGUCAGGAGGUAUACCAGAGCCCUGCAACCAGCCCCCCCGCCCACGCAUCACAAUGCCCAUGGUCAUUGUGUGUGCUGCCAAGUCCACUGCAUCCAGCAACGCAGUACAUGAGAUGACCCUACUCUCCUCUGUCAGUACCGCAAACUUCUGGUGCAUUUGGAAUGAACUGUGCAAAUCAGGGCAGCUGCUUCCAUAGUACCAACUGGAAUUGCAAUAAGGCGAUAUGCUCAACCCAGGCUAAGUGCAGCAUUUCAGAAGACAUGACAUUUAUUUGGAUCACUGUAUGCUGAACAUCCAAUUACUUUGGAAAUGAAUGCAGACCAAGCUGUGUUUUAUCACCAACCUUAUAAAAGAGCUAAGAAGAUCUGGCAUAUUUCAAGUUGGAAUAAAAUCAAAAGGCAACCAACUAUGGCUCAGCCUCCCAGACAGUAAUUUUGUGAACCCUAGACUCUGGGGUUCCAUUACUAGUUUGAUUAGACAUAAUUGACAGGACAAAAAUGUUCUUGGAUUUUGACUUGCCAAGCAAGCAGGGUGUUGUUCUACGUAAUUGUCCUUUUUAUUCCCCUAUUCCCUUUCCUGGAGAAUUCUAAGUAUGUGAAGUACCUUCAAGUUGAACUAGUAGUUGCCCAACGGAAGGAUUCCAUUAUAAGAAAAACUAAAUCUAAUGACAACACCAAAUGAUGAAAAUCAAGUUAAAUUCCCACAAGAGGCUGAGUUAAAGCAUUAUGAUGGAAAUCUGUUGAACACAUGCUGACAGAAGUAAAGGGAGAGCUGAAGAAUGAAAAGAAAAAAAGACAUGCUUUGUGCUAUAAAAUGUGUAUCACGUUUGAACAAGGUUCUGAAUACAGCUAGGUGACUAGAUACAGACCCAGGGUUAGUGAUAAGUAUUGAGCUGGGAAAAUUAUAUUUAGCAGCACAUCAGUAACUAAUUAAAUACAGAUGGGAUGCUGAAUGCUAUUUUUGCUGAGCUGUGCUGACCACAAAGCUGUGGUCAGCAUCAUGUCACCUAACUGUUGUUCACAGCCACCUCAAGUAAAUUUUUGCUGGACAGACAAAGUCUAAGAUGAAAGAUAAAAUGAGACAGGAGGCCAAUUGGGCAGAAUGGCGAUGAGGCAAUGGAGAGAAAGGACAAUGUGUGUUAGAGUUGGGGCAGGGUGAGAAAAAGGCACCAGUAAGGAGCUAAAGAGAAGGACAAUGGUUACAACCUGCAGGGAUUCACCAGGGUACAUCUGUUUCCUAGCAAAACAGCAUAGGUAGAGCUCCAGUUCUUAAUGCUUCAGGAAGUGUAAUGUUUGUGUUGUGUUGUUAUGCUGCAGAAUCACUAAGUGAUAUGACAGUACAAUGCUACAAAGUCAAGAAACCCAAAAUGUGUGUUCUAAAGCCUGUGAGAGUGUGUAGAUACACUCACUCUAGAAGAAAGACGUGAGAAACAUAAGGACAUUUGUUACACAACAGUUUCAAUACGGUCACAAAUAUUCCUCAGUUCCGUAGCUGUCAAAGAGCAGGUUACCAUAUCAACAUUAUUGUCAAAAGAGACUAUAAUACAGAAUACAAACCAGCAAAGGUAUCUAGGGAUGACUGUAGUUAAAACAGUAAAAAUAUCAGUACAAUAAGGGAAAACAGAAAAAUCUCAAAAUUAUUUCUAUAGUGUGUGCAUGUGUACAGAAUACACAAUGUGUUGUGGUAUAAAAACUAUCAGGGCAAGAGGUUUAUGUACAUUAUCCCUCCUGAGUGCUGAAAAAUAUCGUUACCCCACACAAGGAUAUAUUUUGCAUAUGUGGUACAUAUUACAAUAAUGUUAUUUUCAGGCUGAGAGAUUUCAAGGUGUGUGUUAGCUUCCGUUAUUACAUAAGGGGAAAAACUACCAUACGGAUUAGUGUCAAUAAAAAAUUACUUUUUGGCAGAGGUGAAAGUAAGGCAGUGCACCCUAGUGUGCCAUUCUAGCAAGAACCAGCUGGGGUGCGCUGCUGUAUGCACACGUGGUGCAGCUUGUGGAAGCCCCAGCAAGCUGAGACAGGCAAAUGUGAAAGGAACCAGCUGUGGGCAAGCUACAGGGGAGGGCACUAUGCUAGAGAGGAGGGAGAGCGCUCCCAGCCAGGCUUCCGGUAUGUCUGCACCUGUCCUGUUGCCCCUCUCUCACUGGAUGCCAGGUAGCAAACGUGCAGGCUGUGGUGUGCACUGCUGCCAGCAGCCCCCAGAGAGAAGCCAGAGAAUGGAAUGGCAGACUAGGAGGCUCUCGCACAGCUGCUGAUUUCUCUGUAGCAGUGCCCCCACACAGCUGGCCCAUAGCUCUCUUGUGGCAACACAGCGAACAGGAGCAGCAAGGCAGGAACUUGUCUACCAACCAGGUAACAGUAACCUGGUGAUGACUGGGACUGCCCCAGCCCUGUUUCUCACCCCUGCGCACACACAGCUCCCUGCCCUGAG